GUACACUCCUACGGGAGGCAGCAGUGGGGAAUUUUGGACAAUGGGCGAAAGCCUGAUCCAGCCAUGCCGCGUGCAGGAUGAAGGCCUUCGGGUUGUAAACUGCUUUUGUACGGAACGAAACGGCCUUUUCUAAUAAAGAGGGCUAAUGACGGUACCGUAAGAAUAAGCACCGGCUAACUACGUGCCAGCAGCCGCGGUAAUACGUAGGGUGCAAGCGUUAAUCGGAAUUACUGGGCGUAAAGCGUGCGCAGGCGGUUAUGUAAGACAGUUGUGAAAUCCCCGGGCUCAACCUGGGAACUGCAUCUGUGACUGCAUAGCUAGAGUACGGUAGAGGGGGAUGGAAUUCCGCGUGUAGCAGUGAAAUGCGUAGAUAUGCGGAGGAACACCGAUGGCGAAGGCAAUCCCCUGGACCUGUACUGACGCUCAUGCACGAAAGCGUGGGGAGCAAACAGGAUUAGAUACCCUAGUAGUCCCA
rnacentral:rRNA from 1 species